UACAGAGGGUGCAAACGUUGCUCGGAAUUAUUGGGCGUAAAGCGCGUGUAGGCGGCUUGUUAAGUCGGUCGUGAAAGCCCACGGCUCAACCGUGGAAGUGCAACCGAAACUGGCAAGCUUGAGUUCUGAAGAGGAUGGCGGAAUUCCCAGUGUAGAGGUGAAAUUCGUAGAUAUUGGGAGGAACAUCGGUGGCGAAGGCGGCCAUCUGGGAAGCGACUGACGCUGAGACGCGAAAGCGUGGGUAGCAAACAGG
rnacentral:rRNA from 1 species